rnacentral:rRNA from 1 species
ACGGCAGCGGCAGACGGGAGAGUAACACGUGGGAACGCGCCCUUCGGUUCGGAAUAACUCAGGGAAACUUGGACUAAUACCGAAUACGUCCGAAAGGAGAAAGAUUUAUCGCCGAAGGAUCGGCCCGCGGCUGAUUAGCUAGUUGGUGAGGUAACGGCUCACCAAGGCGACGAUCGGUAGCUGGUCUGAGAGGAUGAUCAGCCUCACUGGGACUGAGACACGGCCCAGACUCCUACGGGAGGCAGCAGUGGG